rnacentral:rRNA from 1 species
UACGUAGGGGGCGAGCGUUAUCCGGAAUUAUUGGGCGUAAAGAGCUCGUAGGCGGUUUGUCGCGUCUGCCGUGAAAGUCCGGGGCUCAACUCCGGAUCUGCGGUGGGUACGGGCAGACUAGAGUUCGGUAGGGGAGACUGGAAUUCCUGGUGUAGCGGUGAAAUGCGCAGAUAUCAGGAGGAACACCGGUGGCGAAGGCGGGUCUCUGGGCCGAAACUGACGCUGAGGAGCGAAAGCGUGGGGAGCAAACAGG